rnacentral:snRNA from 1 species
AUUACUUCUAGGCCUUUUGGCUAAGAUCAAGUUUAGUAUGUGUUCUUAUCAGUUUAAUAUUCCCUGAAUAUAUCAGCAAAAAAAAAAAAAAAUGUUCCCUGUCACAUCUU